UACGUAGGGUGCGAGCGUUAAUCGGAAUUACUGGGCGUAAAGCGUGCGCAGGCGGUCUGUUAAGACCGAUGUGAAAUCCCCGGGCUUAACCUGGGAACUGCAUUGGUGACUGGCAGGCUUUGAGUGUGGCAGAGGGAGGUAGAAUUCCACGCGUAGCAGUGAAAUGCGUAGAGAUGUGGAGGAAUACCGAUGGCGAAGGCAGCCUCCUGGGCCAACACUGACGCUCAUGCACGAAAGCGUGGGGAGCAAACAGG
rnacentral:rRNA from 1 species